AUUGAACGCUGGCGGCAUGCCUUACACAUGCAAGUCGAACGGUAACAGGUCUUCGGAUGCUGACGAGUGGCGAACGGGUGAGUAAUACAUCGGAACGUGCCUAGUAGUGGGGGAUAACUACUCGAAAGAGUGGCUAAUACCGCAUGAGAUCUACGGAUGAAAGCAGGGGAUCGCAAGACCUUGUGCUACUAGAGCGGCCGAUGGCUGAUUAGGUAGUUGGUGGGAUAAAAGCUUACCAAGCCGACGAUCUGUAGCUGGUCUGAGAGGACGAUCAGCCACACUGGGACUGAGACACGGCCCAGACUCCUACGGGAGGCAGCCGUGGGGAAUUUUGGACAAUGGGCGAAAGCCUGAUCCAGCAAUGCCGCGUGCAGGAUGAGGGCCUUCGGGUUGUAAACUGCUUUUGUACGGAACGAAAAGCCCCGGGUUAAUACCCUGGGGUCAUGACGGUACCGUAAGAAUAAGCACCGGCUAACUACGUGCCAGCCGCCGCAGUAA
rnacentral:rRNA from 1 species